rnacentral:rRNA from 1 species
GAAGGGUGCAAGCGUUACUCGGAAUUACUGGGCGUAAAGCGUGCGUAGGUGGUUUGUUAAGUCUGAUGUGAAAGCCCUGGGCUCAACCUGGGAAUGGCAUUGGAAACUGGCUUACUAGAGUGCGGUAGAGGGUAGCGGAAUUCCCGGUGUAGCAGUGAAAUGCGUAGAUAUCGGGAGGAACAUCCGUGGCGAAGGCGGCUACCUGGACCAGCACUGACACUGAGGCACGAAAGCGUGGGGAGCAAACAGGAUUAGAUACCCUGGUAGUCCACGCCCUAAACGAUGCGAACUGGAUGUUGGGGGCAACUUGGCCCUCAGUAUCGAAGCUAACGCGUUAAGUUCGCCGCCUGGGAAGUACGGUCGCAAGACUGAA